CCUACGGGAGGCAGCAGUGAGGAAUAUUGGUCAAUGGACGAGAGUCUGAACCAGCCAAGUAGCGUGAAGGAUGACUGCACGAUGGGUUGUAAACUUCUUUUAUAGGGGAAUAAAAUGUGCCACGUGUGGGAUUUUGUAUGUACCAUAUGAAUAAGGAUCGGCUAACUCCGUGCCAGCAGCCGCGGUAAUACGGAGGAUCCGAGCGUUAUCCGGAUUAAUUGGGGUUAAAGGGUGCGUAGGUGGAUUGUUAAGUCAGUGGUGAAAGUUUGCGGCUCAACCGUAAAAUUGCAGUUUAAACUGGCAGUCUUGAGUACAGUAGUGGUGGGCGGAAUUCGUGGUGUAGCCGU
rnacentral:rRNA from 1 species